UGCUUGGGUAGCUCAGUGGUAGAGCACUUGGCCGCAAAAGCCAAAGGUCCCGAGUUCGAGUCUCGGUCCGGCAC
rnacentral:tRNA from 1 species